CGGUGUUUAACUGGCGUGAUGUGGGACGUCCUACCGGUGGGCUUAGCCUCGCGAGGGGCGGCCCAACUAAUAUCCCGUCGCGGUGCUCUUUACUGAGUGUCGAGUCGGGCCGGUACGUUUACUUUGAACAAAUUAGAGUGCUUAAAGCAGGCUAUCCUCGCCUGAAUACUGCGUGCAUGGAAUAAUGGAAUAGGACCUCGGUUCUAUUUUGUUGGUUUUCGGAACCCCGAGGUAAUGAUUAAUAGGGACAGAUGGGGGCAUUCGUAUUGCGACGUUAGAGGUGAAAUUCUUGGAUCGUCGCAAGACGGACAGAAGCGAAAGCAUUUGCCAAAAAUGUUUUCAUUAAUCAAGAACGAAAGUUAGAGGUUCGAAGGCGAUCAGAUACCGCCCUAGUUCUAACCAUAAACGAUGCCAGCUAGCGAUCCGCCGAAGUUCCUCCGAUGACUCGGCGGGCAGCUUCCGGGAAACCAAAGCUUUUGGGUUCCGGGGGAAGUAUGGUUGCAAAGCUGAAACUUAAAGGAAUUGACGGAAGGGCACCACCAGGAGUGGAGCCUGCGGCUUAAUUUGACUCAACACGGGAAACCCCACCAGGCCCAGACACCGGAAGGAUUGACAGAUUGAUAGCUCUUUCUUGAUUCGGUGGGUGGUGGUGCAUGGCCGUUCUUAGUUGGUGGAGCGAUUUGUCUGGUUAAUUCCGAUAACGAACGAGACUCUAGCCUGCUAAAUAGGCGUACCUUAUGGUAUCGCGAAGGCCCCCGGCUUCGGCCGGUGGGUUUUUACUACCAACGUACAAACAAAUCUUCUUAGAGGGACAGGCGG
rnacentral:rRNA from 1 species